AUACCCUAUUAUUUUUAAUGUAAAAUUUAUUAGGCUUGAGUAUUAAUAGUUAUGAUCUUUAAACUCAAAGAAUUUGGCGGUAUUAUAAUCUUUUUAGAGGAACCUGUCGUGUAAUCGAUAGUCCACGUUGAACCUUACUUACUUUAAUUUUCUUGUAUAUCGCUGUUUGAUGAAAAUGUCUUAAGAUAUUAAUUUUCUUAAUAGUAAUAUAUAAGCUAAAAUUUCAAGUCAAGGUGCAGUAAUAAUUAAGUUUUUUGAUGGGUUACAAUAAAUUGUAUUUAUUAAAAUUGAUGGAUUAUUAUUUUGGUUAAUAAUAUGAAAAUGGAUUUAAUUGUAAUUUUAUAAAGAUUAUUAAGGUGAAUUUAUGGCUCUUUAAUAU
rnacentral:rRNA from 1 species